rnacentral:rRNA from 1 species
AUUGAACGCUGGCGGCAGGCCUAACACAUGCAAGUCGAGCGAGCGGCGGACGGGUGAGUAAUGUCUGGGAAACUGCCUGAUGGAGGGGGAUAACUACUGGAAACGGUAGCUAAUACCGCAUACCAUCAGAUGUGCCCAGAUGGGAUUAGCUAGUAGGUGGGGUAACGACUCACCUAGGCGGCGAUCCCUAGCUGGUCUGAGCGGAUGACCAGACACGCUGGAACUGAGACACGGUCCAAAGUCCAACGGUAGGCAGCAGUGGGGAAUAUUGGACAAUGAGCACAAGCCUGAUACAGCAAUGCCGAGUGUGUGAAGAAUGCCUUCGGGUUGUAAAGCACUUUCAGCGGGGAAGCGUUACCCGCAGAAGACGCACCGGCUAACUCCGUGCCAGCAGCCGCGGUAAUAC